GUUCCACCUUUCCCUACUCAACAAGAUCGAACAACUGAAGACUUUGGUCGACUCUGAGAAGAGGGAGGUGAGAGAUUUAACUGCUGCUCAUCAGAGACAACAGGUGGAGAUUGCUGGAUGUCAAACCAAAUUGAAAGAAGAACGCAAAUUGAGAAUCAAAAUAGAGAAAAAUUACCAAACGCUCCUGGCCCCGAAAAAGUCAACAGACGAGAAACUAGCAAACAAAACCCUGCAGAAGGAGUUCACGACCCUGACGAACCAAUACACA
rnacentral:lncRNA from 1 species